rnacentral:rRNA from 1 species
AUUGAACGCUGGCGGCAGGCCUAACACAUGCAAGUCGAGCGAGCGGCGGACGGGUGAGUAAUGUCUGGGAAACUGCCUGAUGGAGGGGGAUAACUACUGGAAACGGUAGCUAAUACCGCAUAACAUCAGAUUUGCCCAGAUGGGAUUAGCUCGUAGGUGGGGUAAUGGCUCACCUAGGCGAGUAUCCCUAGCUGGUCUGAGAGGAUGACCCGCCACACGGGAACUGAGACACGGUCCAGACUCCUACGUGAGGCAGAAGUGGGGAAUAUUGCACAAUGGGCGCAAGCCUGAUGCAGCCAUGCCGCGUGUGUGAAGAAGGCCUUCGGGUUGUAAAGCACUUUCAGCGGGGAGGCGUUACCCGCAGAAGAAGCACCGGCUAACUCCGUGCCAGCAGCCGCGGUAAUUC